UACGGAGGGAGCUAGCGUUGUUCGGAAUUACUGGGCGUAAAGCGCACGUAGGCGGCUUUCUAAGUCAGGGGUGAAAUCCUGGAGCUCAACUCCAGAACUGCCUUUGAUACUGGAGAGCUUGAGUCCGGGAGAGGUGAGUGGAACUCCGAGUGUAGAGGUGAAAUUCGUAGAUAUUCGGAAGAACACCAGUGGCGAAGGCGGCUCACUGGACCGGUAUUGACGCUGAUGUGCGAAAGCGUGGGGAGCGAACGGG
rnacentral:rRNA from 1 species